UGGGGAAUCUUGCACAAUGGGCGAAAGCCUGAUGCAGCGACGCCGCGUGCGGGAUGAAGGCCUUCGGGUUGUAAACCGCUUUCAGCAGGGACGAGGCCGCAAGGUGACGGUACCUGCAGAAGAAGCCCCGGCUUACUACGUGCCAGCAGCCGCGGUAAUACGUAAGGUCCGAGCGUUGUCCGGAAUCAUUGGGCGUAAAGGGUACGUAGGCGGAUAAGCAAGUUAGAAGUGAAAUCCUAUAGCUCAACUAUAGUAAGCUUUUAAAACUGCUCAUCUUGAGGUAUGGAAGGGAAAGUGGAAUUCCUAGUGUAGCGGUGAAAUGCGCAGAUAUUAGGAGGAAUACCGGUGGCGAAGGCGACUUUCUGGCCAUAUACUGACGCUGAGGUACGAAAGCGUGGGUAGCAAACAGG
rnacentral:rRNA from 1 species